GAGCUCUUCACAGAUGGUGGCAUAUGAGGAAUUUAGAAGUCAGGAAACACCCAGAUUUUCAAGGAAAAGACUCUUCCAGACGUCUCUGGAACGCAAUUACACAAGAUUCUAGGGCACCCACCAUACACAUUCUUCCUUGUUCCAAGGGUAUUGUUUCCUCAACCAUACUCCUUCUCGCUCAGGAAAGAUCUUCAAAAAGGAGACUACAGUUUCUUCAGUCCUCAGCCAUGAGCUUGGCUCCUGUCCCCAUGCUUGUGUUUAUGAUACUUUUUGCCCCGAGAGGAAAUGGAGCCCAGUCAGUGACCCAGCCUGAUGUCCACAUCACUGUCUCUGAAGGAGCCCCUCUGGAGCUGAGGUGCAACUACUCAUCUUCUGUUCAGGUGUAUCUCUUCUGGUACGUGCAGCACCCCAACCAAGGACUCCGGCUUCUCUUGAAGUACAUAUCAGGGGACAUCCUGGUGAAAGGCACCAAAGGUUUCGAGGCUGAAUUUAGGAAGAGUGAAAAGGCCUUCCACCUGAGGAAACCCGCAGUCCAGUGGAGCGACGCAGCCAAGUACUUCUGUGCUGUGAGUGACACAGUGCCUGGGACUGCAGGGGGAGCUGAACACCAACUUCUGGUGAAUGUGAGGCUUCCAGUGACUCAAGGGAUCAACCUGGGGCACUUUCAGUGA